rnacentral:lncRNA from 1 species
AGUGCAGGUCUCCCUCUUUGAGAGGCUACGUUCCGUUGGGGUUUUCAUGAAGCCUGUUGUGCACCUGAAGCUCAGGCCGGUUCAGGGGAAGUGGCCUGUCGAGGGCCACAUCAUAUUUGUGUGCAGAGCCAGUGCUUUCCAAAGCCCGUGACGGUGUGGAAGUCUACCUGUUAGGGGUGCAGUGGGGGCUGUCAGGGGAGCGUUGUGAGCACAGCUUGCAGUUGCUACUGACCGCAUCUGCAGCACUGUGGAAUCAGAAAAAAUCUCCCUCAACUUGGCUGCUCUUG